AUGCCUGUAUGCAUAGACCCAACUUGGAGCUGGAUGGCAGCUAAUUCUGAUAUUUGCAAUAUUUUAAGCACUGGCCAUUACUUUCUCACAGAAUGUGGGGGUUUACUUAGGUGCACACUAACUGUGUAUGUUUUGCAGUUUGUACAGACAGAUGUGUCUGCUGCUGUCUGCUCCGUAUCUGCUCGGUCUCCAUUUCUAGUUCAAAAAGGCUUGUUCACAGGGAUGCAGUAGAGAUGAUACACGCGGACUCUAAGGAAGAAUGACCUGGCUUUGGGGGAGGAAUGACACACGUUUGAUGAACGGUCCUCAGUUCGUCUUGUUUCAAGCAUGGCUGCAAUCUUCAUCGACAGGUUAGAAGAGAAUAAGAUGUGUGCACAGAAAUAAGAUGUAGCUGCAGCAGCUCCAUUGAACCAGAGGGAGUCUUCCUCAACAAGAUGAAGUUGACAGCAGAAUGAAAAACUGGGAAGCAUACAGAGGACAGGCAGCACCAGCCACUGCAACAUCUCCCAGCACAUGAAUCUAAGUGAAAGGAGUAGUUUUUUGGGGAAUUUUUUUAGUCAUAGCAUAGAUAAAACAACAGUUGCACGACAAGAAGGAAGAAGAAAAACAGUGGGUAGGGCCUGGAGCAUCAAUCUUGGGAAGAGCGGUUGAAGGAGCUGGGACUGUUUAGUUUGAGGAAGAGGAGGCUGAGUGAGGGGAGACCUCAUCACUCUCUACAGCUACUUGAAAGGACACUGUAGAGAGGUUGGUGCUGGUCUCUUCUCACACGUAAUUAGGGACAGAACGAGAGGGAACGGCUUCAAGCUCCAACAGGGUAGGUUUAGACUGAACAUUUGGAAAGAAUUUUUCACAGAAAGAGUGGUCGGGCAUUGGAACAGGCUGCCCAGGGAGGUGGUUGAGUCACCAUCCCUGGACGUGUUUAAGAGUCAUUUAGAUGUGGUGUUGGGGGAUAGGGUGCAGGAGAGAACUUUGUAGAGUGGGGUUGAUGGUCGGACUCGAUGAUCCCAAGGGUCUUUUCCAACUUGAAUGAUUCUAUGAUUCUACGUGUGUUUCUAUCUUCAGCAAUGGCGUUAGCAAUGGAGAGUGCCACCUCCCAGGACAGACCAUGAAAAACUGACUUUUCACCCAGGAAGCUUCUCUGUAGCUGAUCACCCCGUGUGUUGAACACCGCAUAAUUCCAUUGUCAUGGAAAUCCAGGUGUUUUGUGACGUGGAUAAAAUAUAUAGUCUGCUGCUUGGCAGAGACAAGAGGGUUCUGUCUUACAGUGACGAGAGUAGUGGCCAGCCAUGCCUGAGGUGGACCUUCUGCUCCUGGUUACAGGUUUUGCCCAUCUCACCCCUGGGCGUGCUAGGUGGCACAAGUCACAGCUUCUGUAUCUGGGCCAGGCUGAUCACUUGAUACGAUGCCUAUUAUAGAGCAGUGACGGGCAGUGGGGUGAGAGGAGAGCUAUCAAGUACAAAUGAGAUCUGCUGAAGUGCAGCUUGGACAUGCUCGCUUCUGUCACAAAUGAGUUAGGGAGGAUAGAGUGACACAUCUGACCCACUUGGUCCAGCAAAUGCAAACCUGGAGCUACCACAGACGUGUAAGCGUAGCUAGGAGAGCUUCAGGGCUCCAUUCUCUACCCCUGAGAUCACAGGUUAUGAAAUACAAUAGGACGUCCUUUUCAGGAAGGAGAUCAGCUCAUCUUCCUCCUGUAAAUGUUCUGGGCAAAGGCUGUGUGGGUGUAGCUGCUUGAGAAAGGGGGUUGGAAUGCUGUUGGGAAAAUAAAGCUGAGACUAAAACCUCA
rnacentral:lncRNA from 1 species